GGGCUCACACAAGCGGUGGAGCAUGUGGUUCAAUUCGAAGCAACGCGCAGAACCUUACCUGGGCUUGACAUGCUAGGAUUAUCCCUAUGAAAGUAGGGUAGGCCCUUCGGGGUACAACUAGUACAGGUGCUGCAUGGCUGUCGUCAGCUCGUGUCGUGAGAUGUCGGGUUAAGUCCCUUAACGAGCGAAACCUUUGCCCUUAGUUACCAGCGGGUUAUGCCGGGGACUCUAAGGGGACUGCCGGUGUCAAACCGGAGGAAGGUGGAGAUGACGUCAAGUCCUCAUGGCCUUUAUGCCCAGGGCCACACACGUGCUACAAUGGCGUCCACAAAGCGAACCUAAAGCGCGAGCUCAUGGAAAUCGCAGAAAUGACGCCCCAGUUCAGAUCGGAGGCUGCAACUCGCCUCCGUGAAGUUGGAAUCGCUAGUAAUCGCGGAUCAGCUACGCCGCGGUGAAUGUGUUCCUGAGCCUU
rnacentral:rRNA from 1 species